GUGGGACUAUCAUCACCUGGCUACAGAGAGCACCCCCAGUCUGGUAACUACUAAAGUCACUUCCUUUAUGCUCACCCUAUUAACACUUCCUUUAAUGUUCUGUCUAGGGAGACGGCUGUGAGAUCCAGAAAGAGAAGAAGAACACGGCUGUCAUAACCCCUUGAUUACGCUGAGUUGCCGGCUGACCUUCAGCAAUGAAGAUCCUUUAUCUGCUGUUUGCGGUUUUCCUUCUAGUGCUCCAGGGUGCACCAGCAUUCUCCCAGGCUAAUAAUCCCUACCUGCAAUGUAGACUCCGUGGGGGCAAUUGUUACUUUAAGAGAUGUCUCUUCAAUUCUAAAAUCAUUGGCAUGUGUGCUAGACAUCAUUUCUGCUGUCAAAGGCGACUUUUUGACUGAUUGUCUAGGCAGGAUCUCUGGGAAUCUGGGAGACAGCCACUUCCUUCUAAAAUCAUCAGAUCCUGCUUCAAUGGAACACUGAUGUGCUGUUUAUUUGGGCUGUAAAAAAUCUUGUGAGUUGGAGAAAUUCCAGAAGGGAUCCAUUGUAUCACCCAUAUAUGAUUUGUUACUCUCCUUUCAA